GCCCCCAUCGUCUAGAGGCCUAGGACACUUCCCUUUCACGGAAAAAACAGGGAUUCGAAUUCCCUUGGGGGUA
rnacentral:tRNA from 2 species